GGCAAUAUAUUAUUAUCACAUAUAUCCAUCUUCUGGAUAUAUGUAGAUAUAUGUUUAUAACAUAUAUGAAUUUCCCAUAGUACAAUUUGUAUAUAAACAUAUAUUGAAAGUAUAUAUAUAGUUAACUUUUAUAUGGUAUUGCAUGUUAUGACCAUAUAUGUCUACAAUAUAUAUUAAAAUAGUAUAUUGUAUUAUAUGAUAUGACCAUAUAUGUUAACAAUAUAUAUCAAAAUUAUAUAUGGUACUCUAUUUUUUGACCAUUUGUUACCAAUGUAUAUAUUGAAUUUAUGCAAGUUUAUUAGCCAUAUAUGCCUAAAAGAUACUGCUUAUUGUAAAUCAUAUAACAAAAUUAAUUUUUGCUUAACUUUAUUAAUUGUUUAAAUUCAGUUUUCUGGGGGAAAAGUAGAGAUGAAUAUAUAACCUGUUAAAAAAUGCCAAUGUACUAAAAGUUACUUGUAGUAAAAGGAAUGUAUUAUAGAGUUAUUGAGGGGGAAAAACACUUCAUGUAACUGUUUGUCCAUAUGUGCUCUCAUCAUCAAUGAACUAAAACGCAUUUCAUUAAAAUACAUGAGCGAUUUGUUUGAACGUCACAAUAGCGCUUUUGCGCAUGCGCCAAAAUUUAAACACACCCGCGCUAACGGCAGAGUCUGAGCAAUGGCUGCGGCUAAACAAACAGUCAUCUGCGGUAAGAUGUUUUUCUUAGCAAGUGGAAGGAUAACAAAUGUGUCAGUACCUUCACAUAAUAAACGACAAUGAUUUUAUAGACGGGCACGAAGACAGACAGACAUCACUGAGUGGAGUGGAUGAAACGCCUUUGAAUGUGGCAGCGGUGCAGGUAAUGAGUCCCGAAAUUCUCAGAAAAUAGAAAUGGAGGCCGAACCUGCAGAUGUGGAUGGCAGUGAUGUGAAUGAUGGAGCAUCUACACAGAAAAGAUGCUGGAAUCCAGAAAUUUCUUCACCUGGGGCCUAUUGGGGAUGGCAGUAAACCAAAAACUAACCAAGCUGUGGGAAUACAAACCUGUAGACCUUUAGCUGAACCACUACAAUUGAUGUU